CAACUACUCCCUCCGUCCGAAAAUAGUUGUCAUCAAAAUGGAUGAAAAGGGAUGUAUCUAGAACUAAAAUACGUCUAGAUACAUCUCCUUUAAUCCAUUUUGAUGACAAGUAUUUCCGGACGGAGGGAGUAUAUG
rnacentral:pre_miRNA from 1 species